rnacentral:sRNA from 1 species
UGUUUAGGUAUGAAAAUUGUUUGGACCGGCUCUAACCGAGAUAAUUAUUUUAAACUAUAAAUGGAAUUAUGAAGCUUGUAUACCUUCCUAUCCGCUUCAACUUAAAAAAUCGCAUAUAAU